rnacentral:snRNA from 1 species
GGAUGUGAGGGCGACCUGGCUACGACAUCUGUCACCCCCUUGAUUGGCAGGGGUGGUCCGGCUGACCUGGCUGGCUAGCCAGGGUCCCCUUUCUCCCUCACCACUCCAUGUGCACCUCCCACCCCCACCCCUGCAGCUGUGCUCAGUGGAUGAGGACGCAGCCGGAUAGAGGAGGAUGCUUCCCGGUCAAGGGUAUGUGAGUAGCUGCGCUCCCUUCUAGAACCUCCAAACAAGCUCUCAAAUAAACUUCACCUUUUAAAGAGCAGCUUUAGAUUCACAGCAAAAUUGAGUGGAAGGCACAGAAGUUU